rnacentral:rRNA from 1 species
AGCAGCCGCGGUAAUUCCAGCUCCAAUAGCGUAUAUUAAAGUUGUUGCAGUUAAAAAGCUCGUAGUUGAAUUUCGGGAUCAAUAUAUCGGUCGUGCCAUUGGUACGUACUGGUAUCAUUGGUUUCUCCUUUCUGACGAACCAUGAUGUCAUUAAUUUGGUGUUAUGGGAAGUUAGGACUGUUACUUUGAAAAAAUUAGAGUGUUUAAAGCAGGCUUUCGCUUGAAUACAUUAGCAUGGAAUAAUGAAAUAGGACGUUUGAUCCUAUUUUGUUGGUUUCUAGGAUUGACGUAAUGAUUAAUAGGGAUAGUUGGGGGCAUUAGUAUUCAAUUGUCAGAGGUGAAAUUCUUGGAUUUAUUGAAGACUAACUACUGCGAAAGCAUUUGCCAAGGAUGUUUUCAUUAAUCAAGAACGAAAGUUAGGGGAUCGAAGACGAUCAGAUACCGUCGUAGUCUUAACCAUAAACUAUGCCGACUAGGGAUCGGAUGAUGUUAAUUUUUAAUGACUCAUUCGGCGCCUUAC